UUUAUAAAGAUCAAUCUUUUUUUAGAAA
rnacentral:tRNA from 1 species